AUGUCAUCCUUACCAAAUCAUAAGCUCCUCACCUCGCCUCCGUUAUGCUCCAGUUCAGCUUUUUCAGCCCUCUCCAUUGUAUUGUGUUCAUUUUCAUCCUUCAAAGAACGCAAGACCGUGAACUCAAAAUCAAAAUCGAAGGUAGCAAAAGGGUUUCUUUAUUUUGUGCUUGGAUUCUCUUUUAUUGGGUUAAGGGUAUAUUUUUUAAAAUCAUAUUUGUGUUUGGUUACUGUGAUUUUGAAGGUGUUUUUCAACACCCAAACUUGGUUUAUUUGUUUGGAGCUAUGA